rnacentral:rRNA from 1 species
CCUCAGGAUAGCUGGUAACUUUUUUUAAAAUAGUUUUUAUCAGGUAAAGCGAAUGAUUAGAAGCUCUGGGGAUGAAACAUCCUCGACUUUAUUCUACAAACUUUUAAAUAGGUAAGAUGACUGUAGUGCUUAAUUUGACUAUUAGUCUCUUGAAUAGUAAGUUCUUAGUGGGCCAUUUUUGGUAAGCAGAACUGGCGAUGUGGGAUGAACCAAACGUAAAGUUAAAGUGCCUAAAAAUACGUUCAUCAGACACCACAAAAGGUGUUGAUUCAUCUUGACAGUUGGACAGUGGCCAUGGAAGUCGGAAUCUGCUAAGGAGUGUGUAACAACUCACCAACCGAAUGAAUUAGCCCUGAAAAUGGAUGGCGCUUAAACGUAUUACUUAUACUUUACCGUUAGAAUAAAUGCUAAAUUUUUAACGAGUAGGAGGGCU